ACAGACGUAUGGCUGUAUGUUGUACAGGAUAGAACAUGGGAUCCUUGCUCAGGCGUCCUGCAGUAUUUCACACUCGAUUUGUUAAAGGCUCAUGUGAGACUUAACAACCCAAGAAAACCUGCUCGUCGUGGCCAUGCCCAUACAGGUCCUCAUUGUCCAUCACGGAGCAGCCUCUGCCUCCCGCCAUCAGACACACCAGAAUAUUCAGCAGCUUUAAAUAGCAGCUGCAGGCGGUUUUGUCCUCCUCAUCCAGAUGAUGCCGUCUGGAAGUUUAGAAUGCACGACAUUCACCCGUCUGCCAGACGGGAUCAUGGAUAUCCCACACCCUGGUGUGCUAGAAGCCUAUACUGGUGGGAAGAUCCCGAUAUUGGAUCUCGAGGCAGGGGUUAGGCUGCAAUGCUCUCUCCUGUAAAGCUUCUACACAUUUGGCCUCAUGCUAUUAAGUAUCAGAUCAAAGCAUUGUGGUGCUAAUGAGGGCAAGUGAAUUGUAUUCCUGUCUGAAGACUGCAGGCAUGAAGGCAGCAAGUCAGCUCCUUCCUCAUUUGCUAUAGAACACCCAGGCAGUGGGCUGAUAAUGGGAGAAAGCACUUCUGCCUAUGAACACUGGCCUGCAAGCUUGUGGCUAUGCUACUUGGCCGCCCAGCUAAAGCUUUCUGCACAGCAAGGGUAGGUUGUGAACAACAUGAUAGAUUAACUAGAAAGAAAUUAACUAGAGCUGAAAUGUGAAGGCCAAUCUCUUCCAAAGCACAGAGGUCAUCACCUUCAUUCCACAGGUGAUAGUCUCUUGUAUUGGGUACUGUAAGAGAGCGUGCACCCUCUAAUUGUUCUCAAAACAUGGUUUACAGUUUUAUUUAAAACACUGUCUGUGGCUUCAUUAACUGUAAGUCUUUGGCCCUCUCACUGAGGGGAAGACAUUUCCUGCCAUGUCCUUUUGAGCUGCUGUUUGUUGCUUGGCUGCUCCUUGUUUGUUUUGCUCUGCACGCUGCUUUCAGAUUCAUCUCAGAGGCAGGCAAUGCUCAAGGUGAAGUUGUUGCUUUGCUACCUUUUUUGCUGUUUAGCAGAUUUGAGCUGUGACUGGAAUUACCUUUCUGCUUAUGAAUUUCCUUUUCUAAGCCAAAUGCUCUUGGAGAAGGCCUCAGGUUAUCUCUCUCAAUGUACUAGCUGUUAUUUCUCCCAUGAAGUUAGUGCUAUAAACAGAAUAAUCUGGUGUGCUCCACUGAAAACAAACAUUCUCUGCCCGGUUCUACUUUUGGAGGUGGUGUGUGGUACAGGUACGGGCUAAGCUUCUUGGUAUGCAACCUUCUGAGAAGCUGGAGAACAGGGCGAGUCUCUGGGUCUGUUGUUCCCUGCUGGCCUGAUCUGCUUUGAUUCCUCCCCUGACUCUGCUGUUGUGACCCCUGCUUUGUGCUGCCACUGGUGCUGCUUGUGUCCUACACUGGUCAGUGUGCUACAGGCGCAGGUUUGUUGUUUUUGUUCCAUUGUUUUUGUAAUUUAAUGCAUUGACAGGGUGCUAACGUGCCAACCACCUGCAGGGCAAUUUCUGUGAAGAUCUGCUGAAGGGGACAGAAAAUAAUGUUGUGGGUUUUUUUUUAAUAUAUGUAUUUAAAAUUAAAUAUAUUUAAAUAUAUUUAAAUAGUUAAAGUGUAUUUUCACCUCCUCUAAGCUUUUACACAGAAAGAGUAGAAAGACGUAUUUUCACAGGCCCAGUCACUGCAUGAGCCACUCCUCUCUCAGACUGUGUGCCACUGGUUUCCUGAGGUACUAUGGUGAUAUGUCUCCCAUUCCCAAGCUGCCAGGAUAUAUUUCGAUCUCCAGCCUUCUGGCUGAGCAGUCCUUGGUUGAUGGGUGGCUAUCCUGUGUGCAGACUUGCUCUGCUUCCAGCUUCCUACGUGCUGCAUGCUCUCCAGCUCCAGCAUUAAAACGUUUGGGAUUGCUCUUUUUUUGUGCUGUUUCUCCAAUUGCCUCAGUUGUUCAUUUACAGCCCACUUCUUGCUGUGAUGUCUAUGGGCACUACACACUGUUCAGCGUGGUAGGUCACAGCUUCAGUGCUUUGCACACAAGUCUGGUUCCGGCUGCCCUGGGCUGUAAGGAAACCUGUGUCCCAGAAUGAAAGUAAAUGUUGGGAUUUAUUUUGGUGCUGUUGGAAUUCUGCUUGGCACUGAUGUCCAGUUUAAAUAAAUGAUGUGUGCAGCGUUGCUUGUACCUCACCAGCAGUGGGACAGUAGUUCAGCUGCCUGCCUACCUUUUCUGUUCUGGUAGCCUCGUGGAAGUAAAGAAGAGGAUCUGGGACUGAUGGAUUCAGACACUUGGUAAGAUUGCAGCUUUCCUGUGCAAAGCACUUGUGGUGUGAGGUACUCCCUGCCUAUGUUGUUAGGGCACUUGGACCUUGCCUGCACCCAGCAGCUUUCCUAACAUUCAGUAGGAAGGCUAAAUGUAUUCCUCAAAGCAAAGUAUUCCUCAUUUCUUACCCCUCCCCCUUAUAUUCCUGUCAGAAAGAGACCAUGUCCUCACAGAUGCUUGCCAUCAGCAUUUUUUGCAGAAGGACAUGGAGCUGGGUGUCCUUGAGCAGGCCUCUGCCCUGCCAGCUCCUCAUCUCCUACUGAUUGUUCACCCAUCACUGAAUGGGUCAGUUUGCACUUUCAGCCUCUUUUCAGCUGGUCUGUGGUACUUCUCAGGGGGCUUUUGGUUUGCUUUCAACAGCUACUGUGAGGUUCUAACUUCUUCAUAAUGUGAGCCUGCACGGGACAGCCUGAUGCCCAGCAAGGUGGCACAGAAGGGAGAACAGCUCUGAUGAUGCAUUAUGAACGCUGUUAUUCUACCUGAAUUUCCAGCUGUGCUCUUCUGUGUAUACUAUAGUAGUGAUACUGUACUAUAAUGCUGUAAUGUCUGAACGUGCUAGAAAAGCUCUACUUUUAUCUCAGAAACUUUUAACAAGUGCAGGGUAGCUAGGGGUUCAGGCAGGGUUACAAUGUAGGUGAGUUUGGCUGGAUCUCAGUAAUUUCAGAUUUGAAAAGUGGCAGUAACAGCCUUAUUAGGAGCCCACUGCCUUCCCCAGGAGAAGCGCCAGCCAUGGCUCUGGCCUUUGCCACCACCAUGUUCUGGUAGAAAUCAAUUUAUACCUUCUGCUGUCAGCCAAAGCAUAAAAAGCAGCUGGCUAAUGAACACAUUUAGCACAAACAGCAGUUCAUGGAAUUACCGCAGUCCUACUCUUGCAUCUCUUAGCCCCUCAAAAGUAGGGCUGCCGUGAUCCAUGCUGGGGGAGGCUUGACCUGUUUUCAGUCCAUUUCCCUCCAGGAAUGUAACUGUGGAUGGUUACAUCAAGAGCCCAGUGACCUCAGAGGCCUCUUCCCAGUAAUGCCAGUCAGUGAAAUGAAAAUGAGAUACUGAUGACAUCUAUGAGACACAUUCCAGUUGCCUCUCAGGUUUUGACUGGAGAUGGAGUUAGACUGUCUCUUCAGAGAGCUGUCUGCUGGCAGAGGCUAGGGCAGAGGGAUGGAGGGAACAAGAGCAGAGCAAGUCAUGCAAAGCAGGCAAAAGAAGGAGUGAUGAAAGCUGAAGUGCAUGCCUUAGAAGACAGAACUUGAGGGAACAAACACAGCUAGUCUGACCUACUUGGGAUCAAAGCUGACUUUGGAAUAGCGUGAUGGAAGCUUGAGGAGGUAAAUCUUAGAAGACUGUCAAGUCAGCCUGUUUUGUAGACUAACAGGCUGCCACUUAAGGUCUAGUAUUGCACAUGCAAUAAGGGGCAUACUCCUCCCCCAGCAACCAGAAGUCGCUCUGAAUGCUUCAGGACUGGCAGAAUCAGUCAAAACAAGUCUUUAAACAAGGAAUUAAUUUUUCUUCAAGUAAGGCAAGAAAAAACCAUGGGAUUCACUCUAGGUAACUUAAUCAAUUUUAAAUACUUCAGAAAGACUAGCCCAGCUGCACUGGGAACAGUUCACUCACAGCAGGAUGAGGCACUGUAGGGUGUUAAUGCAGAGAAGUGCUAUUGUUUGAGUGAGCAGAAGAGGUGGAGUAAGCAGGAACAGGUAAGAGGCCUGCACUGUUCUUGUAAUCACUACUGCUUGCGACAAGUGGUCCAAAGCCACCCAACCUGUGUCAUUCAUUAACAGGCUCAUAGCCACAGAGAGUACGUACAAUAAGGUCAAAGCCCCCUGCGCGACCUGGGUGCCAGGGAGCAGGUUGUACUGCAGGCAGGUAACGCACGCUCCACAGCCAGAGGCACACAGGCUCCUUCCUCAGCCAUUCUGUAUAAACGGGUACCAUUUCUGAUUUUAUUUCAUCAUAACAUACAGGUAAUGCUCAUGACACAACAAGAUGAGAAACUCACAUUGCUCUGAACCAUUUAAACAGCCUGCCAUACACCGAAGAACAUUAUAUUCAUACUGAACAUGUACACAUUUCCCCCUUGCAUCCUCCACUUCGCCUUCCAAACUUCUACAAACCAUUUCCAGCAUUGUUCAGGUACAGGACACGAGUUCAGACAGGAGACAGGGCACUACCCUGGGCAGGACAUGGGGUUAAGGCUUCCUCCUACAGGACCCCCUCCCCUAGCAAUACUGAGCCUACAGCUUUGAUUCAUUCGAUGACUGUAGCCUAUUGGAAAUCACGAGGAGCCACACAACCAGAUUUUGGUUCCUCAGGAGGUGAUUAACCAAAAAAAACCAACCAUAUGUAUCUGUACAGAGAGAAGGGGGCAGAACACACAUGUGCAAAAGGAGCACAAAGGACAGGAAGGUUCUGCCUCUAGGGAUUGAUUUGUGUUAACCCCCCAUUAACUGAUUUAAAUCAGUUAAAUCAGACACAGGCUUUCACUGAAAUCUGGCUGAGAGGAGCACUGCUAAACUGUUUACAUAUGUAUGUAUACACACACUGGAGUGUGUGUAUAUGCUGCAAAUGGUUGUAAUGUAAUUGCUUUCACUUGAUACAUAAACAAAGACAAGUGUCAGUACGUUUAAUGAAUAACCACAACCUGACAUGCUUUCCAGUGUGGUGUCAGCCUACACCUUGUCUGGACUACCUCUUCUUCCAGCAUCUUGUACACCCGGCAUGAACACAGCCACUGGGUUCAGUUACUCCUGGUGCUGCCUCUCUGUGCCUUUUGCACUUUUUAGGAUCGAGUUAAUUAAGGCUGUAGCUUUCAGUGCUAUUUUCAACAGUCCGCUGUAGGAAAUUAAAGUCACAUCCUAGCCACAAAACAAAACAAUGACAAAAUCUUCUGCACUUUUCAAUAGAGUAAAACCUGAGAUUUGAGUCACAAACUAGCUAAACUUACAGUAAAAAAACCAAACAUAACCCAAGCUGCUGACUUGAAUUAGGGCUUCAGUUUGCUGCUGAGAAUUUCUUUCUAAAGCUGUUGGCCAGGGGUAAGUAUUUAUUACAUGUGAAUUACAAUUUUCAGCUGCCUGCACUGAAAUGGGACAAAACAAUAUCAUUCCCCCUGAAUCACAUGUUCUGAGGGGUGAGAUAACUCAUGCAGCUCCCAUCAGAGCAGGAAGGAUGAAGCGUUAUGCUGUGCUUCUGGUAUCACCCAUUGCUGACUGUACAUCAGCUUGAGCCAUGGCACUGCAUGAGGGGUGAGCAGGAGGGAGGCAGCUGGUUUGCUGUCAGAAGCAACACAAGAAGGGCUGUGCCUCAUCUUGCAUGAACCAUGUAUUUCCUUGGGAGGUGAGGGCAUGAUACCAGCCAGCAUCAGUGCAGUGGGAAACCAAGACCCUGCACUGGGAUGGAGGACAAGAGCCAGGACUGAAUUCCUUGCAGCUGCUAGUGUGGGAGGCUGCAAAACAGAAAGCUGCCAAACUCCUUCCUCCUUUCGGAAUUAACAGGGGAAGCAACCUUGAGGAGUUAAAUCUAGCAUUACACACAUAUAAUUCAUCACUGGUAAAAUUAAAUAUAUUAAAAACAAAGCCUCUCUGGGGAUGUGUACAGAAGGUGAAUGUGCAGCCAUUAAAAGUGGCAUGUGAAAAAUUCAGAGGUGUACUUGUGUAUGUGUGCAUACACUAGCAAAGCUGCAGGUAAGCACAUGAAAACUAUCAAACAAAACUUGGGU